CCUACGGGGGGCUGCAGUAGGGAAUUUUGCGCAAUGGGGGAAACCCUGACGCAGCAACGCCGCGUGAUCGAUGAAGCCCUUCGGGGUGUAAAGAUCUGUCAGUGGGGACGAAACCUGACGGUAUCCACAGAGGAAGCACCGGCUAACUCCGUGCCAGCAGCCGCGGUAAUACGGGGGGUGCAAGCGUUGUCCGGAAUCAUUGGGCGUAAAGAGUUCGUAGGCGGUAUGUCAAGUCAAGGGUGAAAUCCCCGCGCUCAACGUGGGAACUGCCUUUGAAACUGGCAAACUGGAGUGUGUGAGAGGAUAGUGGAAUUCCAGGUGUAGGAGUGAAAUCCGUAGAUAUCUGGAGGAACAUCAGUGGCGAAGGCGACUAUCUGGCACAUAACUGACGCUGAGGAGCGAAAGCGUGGGUAGCAAACAGGAUUAGAUACCCUAGUAGUC
rnacentral:rRNA from 1 species